CUCACUUAUUCAGCAGUGAAUCAGGAGGAAAAAAAGAGCCUUUUGUCCAGUCCUUUGCUUGUCUGCCAAUAGCAGCCCUUGGCGAAUGAGAGUUUUGAUGGACAAAAAGACCGAGGAACAUUGGGGAAGGGAGAAACUGUAACAGCAUUUCAAUGCAGCUCGAACACUGAUGGAAUGGAUGUGGAGAAAGGCAGUAUCCUCUUCCAUAUAGAAACCAUCAGGCGAAGAGGAAAUGUUGCAAGCAAAUUCCUACUCUCAACAAACAUUCACAAAAGAGAAUCUUUCAGAAAGGUGUCUGAUAUACUUGCAACAUUCCAUGCCCACCUACAAAAGUCCUUGGUAAGAAGAGUCUGUCAACAUUAGUGCAAGGAUGAAGAGCAUUGUCAUUAUUUUUCUGGUCCUCCUAUCCAGAGCUAUUAGUUCUGCGUUACUCAGGAUCAUGGCAUAUUAGAUAAAGAGGACCCAAGCCUUAUUUAUCUAAUAAGGGAACCUUGUGCCCUUACUGAAAUAGAAAGCUGCAUUGUAUCUGAAGAAAAAAAAGUGCUUUCAAAAAUUCAGGAAAUGGAGCAUGGAAAUCCUGCUGAAAAGGUUUGGUAAAGAAUAAAAGGAUUGAGAAAUUGUA